GCUCGAAAGGCGCGGAGUGCCAGCAAGGGUGAGAAGGCCCUGUGACCCGGACUCAGGAACCCGCGGGUGGCCCAAACCGGACAGGGUUGACCAGGAGCAGGUGCAGGCCCUAGGCGCCUGGGGAAGACGAGCAGGCAUGCUGCGAAGUGCUCCAGCGAAAGUGGAAGCUGCUCUUGGAGGAAGGACUCCAGCCCCCUAGUUAGCAGGGGCCAUCUAAACAAGUGGAAAGUUGGCAAUAAACCCCAGGGGUGGAAGCAAAUGGCUCUAGAUUAGAAACGUGCUUCCUAAAACCUCAACGUACUCUCGCAUGCCCAAGCCCCAUCCGCACUUGUGCACAUCUACAGACUUAGCUAAGUAAACGGAAAACCGAGAAACUAGAAACUAGAAAGCACAGGGAUGGGGAAUGCAUCAACUGUGUGGUUCCAGGAGCGUCCUUCUCUUCGCCAAGCCUCUUUGUUUGACAAUAGCUUCAGUCCCCUUCGCUGGCAGAUGCGGACAGAUGUGAACCGCCUCCCUCCCGCGCGCAAGGAGGAAUCCACCAGUGCUUCCCAGCAGCCGGUCCGAGCCAUAGGCUGCCCACCACCGUCGACCCGCGCCCAAGCCAACUCGACGGGAGAAAUCACUGUCUCCUCCUUGUUUCUGGGUCUUAAUUUACUAUUAAAAUUUUAAGCAGCACAUUCAUAUUUUACCGGACCUAAUGUGUUUUAUUAAAAUUUAAUCUAUUAAGGGCAAUGUGAUUUCUUUGUAUUGCAAACAGAAUUGAAUUGGACCAAGAGAAAGAUUUCUCAAAAGAUAGAUCUGGCCCUAUUGUGCGCCAUUGUGCUCUUGAGGAGGCAGGGGUUGUUGGAGGAAAGAGGGAAAGGACCGAUUCUGUCAUCCCAUUUCCAGCGUUAUAGGGAUUUCAAGAUCAGCCAGUCUCCUUCAUAUUCUGAAUAGAAGAUGAGCGUCCGGAGCUCCCUUCCGGACUCCGUGACUUGGGGCAGAUGAGAGGGAACUGGUUGGUGGCUUAAACUCCUCGGAUAUGGGUGUUCCAGGGAAGAAGAACAUUAUCCCUGAGACCCAGACUUCAGGGGACUCCCGGGGACCUGGCCACAGAAUGAGGUGCGGGGAAAGGGCGCUCCUGGCCUGGAGUGUUGAGAUAGGGCUCCAUGGUUAAGAAGUGAUUGGUGCAUUUUGUUCCAACAUCUUCUGAGUAUGUCCACCACUACCCUGUGCUUGUCCCUUUCCUUCCUCAGUGGCUCCCAUGAACCCUAAAUCCCCUUUGCCUAGAGGUUAGAAGGAGCCCCUAUUUUACUCAAAGAUGACCAGCACCUCUGCAGCCUCCUCUCUGUGUCUUUCUAGCUAAGUCUCGCUGACAGCCUCCCAACGCAAGAAGUAAGCGAGCUCCAGGAAUCUCCACAUCCACCAGGACCUGAGCCUGGGCUAGGGGCCUGUAGUAGCCAAACAAGCCACUUAGGGCUCUGUCUAGGUCGAAAGAGGCUAAGCAAGGACAAGGAAUGAGGGGAGGCACCGCAGAAAAGAAAGCAGGGGCUCCCCCCCUCUUUUCCCGGUGGAGAGAGAAGAGCAGAGCUCGGUUUCAAGGAAAGCGGACCUGGAGGCAGGGAAUGCGUGAGCCUGGCAGUCCCAGGGCAGCUGGAUGCCUCCGAGGCUCCUUAGGCGACCUCAGGAACCCACCAGGGGACUGCCCCCAGAGUGCUCUGUUGACGUUGGAGGCACUGGGAGGAAAUCAAAGGAGCCUGGGGAAAGCAAACUUCACUGCCUCUUUUCAGAGAUAAAGGGAAAUCUUACAAAAGGAGAGAUUUGCAGACAUACAACUGGAAUUCAAUGAAGUCAUGGUUGAGGCAUCUGCUGGGAAGCCACCAGGAAGUGGAGACUUGCAGCCCAUGUCAAAUCUUAUGCAUCUGAAGAAUCUGAAGCCUCCUUCCUUCCUUCCCCAUCCCCAGAUGGAUUAGAAACAAAACAGCACGUCUUUUGUAGGAAACAGAAAAACCUAAGGAGAAAUGCUAAUAGGUUGACUGUGAAGAUUAUGAAUACUUCUUAACUAUAUAAAUAUGAAUUGAGUGCAUAAAACAUGUGAAAUUCCUUGUAGGCAUACACUUUCACUUUUUUUUAAUUGCAUCAGAAGGUCAUUAAAACAACAAAUGACAACUCAAACAUUUAUCCUGUUUAGAAAUUGUAUAUAUGGCUCAUGAUUUACCUAUGAAUCUCAUAGAUACAAAAGUGUGUGAACCAAACACAGAAUUCUAUUAUUUGUAACCAAAUGUGUGUCAAUGUUUCCCUCUUCCUUUCUCUCUUUGAUAUACAUGUAUGGAUCUCCAAGAAAAAGUCUAAUUGAUGUGUGCUUUGGUGGAUGCUGUCACUUUGCAUCUUGACUAGUUUUUCUUAUAGGCAUAUGGGACAUCAGUGGGCCCAAGCAUCACAUUAAACAUGUUGUACUUGAAAUCAUUAAGAACACUCUUUCUCAAAACACGAAUACUAUAUUUUGUGAUGUCCUGUGCUUUUUUGGCUUUGAAGGCCAAAGUCUGCAUUAUCAACAUUACACUCAUCUGGUGUAUUCCUAUCCUCAUAUUUCAUUGAUUUCUGCUGGCCACAUUUAACUACAUGCUUCAUCUAGAUCACAUAAUCAGUUAUUUCUAUACAGAGCACCUUGAUCUAUUUGCUUCCUUACCUUCCACAUCAAAUUACCCACUUUCUUCAAUUUUGUCCACAGACCAUUGAUUUUACUGGAAAGGGUAAGCACAAUAAGCUAGUUUCUUCCUGAAUUGUAAUUUGCAAUAUAUUUAUGCUAAUCAUCUGUAACAGCUAUGGUAGCUCCAUGCUCAACAUCCCCUCCAGUCUCCUUCUGGUGUGACUUCCUGUAGUGCAGAGUCUGUGAAGCUAAAAAUUACAUUUCCCAGAUGCUUAGAGCUCAGAUACUGGCUGGGACCAAGAGGCAGAAGUGUGGGUCAUUUAUUCUCAGUUGGUGAGAAUCUAUGAGGAGUGGCACUUUUUCAGAGCCAACAGUUAUGUGAUGGUAAGAGGGUAUAUUAUGAAGCCUGUGUUUCCCCAGUGCCUUCCUUUCUCCCUUUCUUCCUGAUUGCAGUGGAGCUCACAGCUUUCCUGACAAGCUAGAUCUUCAAUGUGCUUAUGGGAGUCAUUCCUGGAAGUUUAGCCUAGAGUCUGCUACUUCAAACUUUCCGAAGAUUUGUAGGCAUCCACCUGUAUUCAGUCUGCCUCUGCUUAAAAUAGGUAAAAGUGGGUUCUGUUCCUCUCAGCUAAACCCUGACUGACAUUCCAGCCUUAAUAUUAUUUUAUCUAUAGCUCAGUUUGCUUUUGACUCACUUUUAAUUGACUCUCCAUCUCAUUUCCUGCAGAAUCCAUUACAAACAUUUUCCAUUUCCAUCAUCAUGAUUUUGAGCACAUAACUUCACAAUUUACUAAUAGUGCACUGCAAUAUGUCCCUGUAAGUGUUCUACUGCCACCUAACUAUAUUUUCUGUGUUUUUGCCCAAGAUUCUCUCCUGUAAAUAUUAGUCUCCAGGUUACUCCUUCCAUGUGCUUAUGAAUUCUUACUCUCUUUCCAAUUUCAGGACAUUCAUCUAUCAAUUGACUCCUUUCUAAUCUAUCUCUUCUCACCCUACAAAUUUAUCCAUGGCACAUUAACCUCAGAAUAUAAAUUAAGCAAAAACUUUCUUUUAAUUUCUUCACUCCAGUGUCACUCUUCUUCAGCAUCAAAUUUUGGAAAUGGUAGUUGCAUUUACUGCUUCCAUUUUCUUACCACCCAAUCAGCUCUUAACCUCUGCCAAGAUUAUUUCAACCCUUAAAUGUACACUGAAGGUGUUCCCUCUUAAGGUACUGAUGAUAUUUUAUAUCACCAGUUACGUGGCACUUUUUUCAAAAGCAAGAGCUUCAAACUUAACAUGUUGUGCUGGCUCUGUCAGUUCUUAACUCUAAUUCUCAUUUUGCCUCUCUAAAAGAUAUAAUUAAUAAUUGCAUGUUCUUCCCCAGGUUAGUGAAUGGAUUAAAUGCUACACUGUAUGCAAAGGACUUAGCAUGUUUCCUUGUAUGCCAUGAGCACUUAAUAAAUGUCAAGUAACAAUAUAACAAUAUUGAUAACAAUCUCUGCACACUGUAAGGGUUGGCCCUUCUCUCAUUCUUGGUAUAGCUCUCAGUGCAUAAUAUGUAAAGGCAGGACACACCAGCCUUAGCAGAGUCAUCUAAGUCCUAUUUUCUCUUUUCUCGGUUUUCCUUCCUACCCUCUCUUGUCUAUUAAACAAGACCAGCUCCCCAACAGCCUAUCUUCUCCAGGCUUUUAUAUUAAAAAUGUGGGGCUUACACAACUUAUUCAUUAAUUCAAAGAGCCAUUCAGAGAAGCAGAGGACUAAUUGUUAUUGGCUAAAUGCUUUAUUUUGCUCUCAGAGACCCAAAUUUUUGUGACCAGGCUUCCUUUUCUGGUUUAACAUCAUUUGUAGCUUAUUCCCUUAAAAAAUUUCUGAAUUAAAAAAAAAAAAAGCAUAUAUGGUAUCUGAACUUAAGCUUAUCCAGCAUAGUUUCUUUU